rnacentral:tRNA from 1 species
GAGGAUGUAGCUCAAGCGGUAGCGCGCUCACCUGGCAUGCGCGGGGUGCUGGGUUUGAUCCUCAGCACCACA